rnacentral:rRNA from 1 species
CCUACGGGAGGCAGCAGUGGGGAAUUUUGGACAAUGGGGGAAACCCUGAUCCAGCGAUGCUGCGUGCGGGAAGAAGGCCUUAGGGUUGUAAACCGCUUUCAGCUAGGAAGAAAAGAUUAUAGUUAAUAUCUAUAAUUUAUGACGGUACUAGCAGAAGAAGCACCGGCUAACUACGUGCCAGCAGCCGCGGUAAUACGUAGGGUGCAAGCGUUAAUCGGAAUUACUGGGCGUAAAGAGUGCGCAGGCGGCUCUUUAAGACAGGUGUGAAAUCCCCGAGCUCAACUUGGGAAUUGCGCUUGUGACUGGAGAGCUAGAGUGCGGAAGAGGGGGAUAGAAUUCCUGGUGUAGCAGUGAAAUGCGUAGAUAUCAGGAGGAAUACCGAUGGCGAAGGCAGUCCCCUGGGCCAGCACUGACGCUCAUGCACGAAAGCGUGGGGAGCAAACAGGAUUAGAUACCCUGGUAGUCCACGCCCUAAACGAUGUCAACUAGUUGUUGGAAGAGGAGACUCUUUAAGUAACGAAGCUAACGCGUGCAGUUGACCGCCUGGGGAGUACGGUCGCAAGAUUAAAACUCAAAUGAAUUGACGG